rnacentral:lncRNA from 14 species
CUCAUCCAAUAAAAUUUAACAAUUAGUUUCUGUCCCAUUUGUCUCCUUCCAGAGUGUUCUUGCCAAUUCCUCAGUUUCUCUUUCAUCCUCAGCUGAUCUGAAGAACUGUGGUACUACAGAAGUUCCUGGCUCCCCAGUUCUUCAUGAUUCCUGGUGCUUCACAGACUUCCAGAAUCUCUCUUCAGCCAACAGAGCCCCAGUCCUCUGACCAUUCUGGUGUGAUGCUUGCAUCAGAGUGCAAAAUACACUGUUAGAGAUCUGUAACGAAAGUACAUUAAACUCUUUAAGUGUUUGAAAUGUAGCUGCAGAAGGAAAACUUUGGCAAAAGGCUGUGAAGUCAUCCUGGUAUAAUCAACCCAAAAAAAAUGCAUCUGGCAAUGUGACCCUCUGAUCUGAACAUUCAAUAAGAGCUACUUCUCCUUCUGGAAGGACUCAGAUGAGCUGUAGUGUUCUUCUCGUUUUUAAAUAUAUACAUUUGAUCGUCUCAGGAACUCAUCGUUCAAGAGUGAGUGCAAGCAUGAUUGUUGCUAGUGUUGUCCUUUGGAGCUGCUUGGGAUGUGCAAUUUGCUUGGUUUCCAGGAGGUUUUGUGUCUUGCCUUUAAGUUGGCAGACUAUGAAUCAAGGUAACCAUCAGUCUUUCCCCAUAAUAAAUGUUUAAGCAGUUCAUUUGUACUUAUAACCCAGACAACUUUUAGUUGCAGUUGUUAGAUAAUUCUGCCUCCAAAUAAAAUAAAAUAUGAAGAAUAACUCUUCCA